rnacentral:SRP_RNA from 1 species
GGUCGGGUCCCGUGCGACGACCGUUCGUGAACCGAGUCAGGGGUGGAAGCCAGCAGCUCUCAGCGGAUUGUGUUGGGUGCCACGGAUCGCCUGGCCACC